rnacentral:rRNA from 1 species
UGGGUUGUUAGGUGUGUGGGGAUCUGGGUUAUAGAGGGGGAUAACCUCUGGAAACGGUGGCUAAAACCGCACCACCUCGCAAGACCAAAGAGGGGGACUUUUGGGCAUCUCACUAUCGGAUGAACCCAGAUGGGAUUAGCUAGUAGGCGGGGUAACGGCCCACCUAGGCCACGAUCCCUAGCUGGUCUGAGAGGAUGACCAGCCACACUGGAACUGAGACACGGUCCAGACUCCUACGGGAGGCAGCAGUGGGGAAUAUUGCACAGUGGGCGCAAGCCUGAUGCACCCGUGCCGCGUGUAUGAAGAAGGCCUUCGGGUUGUAAAGUACUUUCAGCGGGGAGGAAGGCGAUGUGGUUAAUAACCGCAUUGAUUGACGUUACCCGCAAAAGAAGCACCGGCUAACUCCGUGCCAGCAGCCGCGGUAAUACAGAGGGUGCAAGCGUUAAUCGGAAUUACUGGGCGUAAAGCGCACGCACGCGGUCUGUUAAGUCAGAUGUGAAAUCCCCGGGCUUAACCUGGGAACUGCAUUUGACACUGGCGCGCUUGACUCUCGUAGAGGGGGGUAGAAUUCCGUGUGUAGCGGUGAUAUGC